rnacentral:rRNA from 1 species
UAGCAUAUCAAUAAGCGGAGGAAAAGAAACCAACAGGGAUUGCCCUAGUAACGGCGAGUGAAGCGGCAACAGCUCAAAUUUGAAAUCUGGCCUCGGCCCGAGUUGUAAUUUGCAGAGGAAGCUUUAGGCGCGGCACCUUCUGAGUCCCCUGGAACGGGGCGCCAUAGAGGGUGAGAGCCCCGUAUAGUUGGAUGCCUAGCCUGUGUAAAGCUCCUUCGACGAGUCGAGUAGUUUGGGAAUGCUGCUCAAAAUGGGAGGUAAAUUUCUUCUAAAGCUAAAUACCGGCCAGAGACCGAUAGCGCACAAGUAGAGUGAUCGAAAGAUGAAAAGCACUUUGAAAAGAGGGUUAAAUAGCACGUGAAAUUGUUGAAAGGGAAGCGCUUGUGACCAGACUUGCGCCGGGCUGAUCAUCCGGUGUUCUCACCGGUGCACUCUGCCCGGCUCAGGCCAGCAUCGGUUCUCGCGGGGGGAUAAAGGCCCAGGGAACGUAGCUCCUCCGGGAGUGUUAUAGCCCUGGGUGCAAUGCCCUCGCGGGGACCGAGGUUCGCGCAUCUGCAAGGAUGCUGGCGUAAUGGUCACCAGCGACCCGUCUUGAAACACGGACCAAGGAGUCAAGGUUUUGCGCGAGUGUUUGGGUGUAAAACCCGCACGCGUAAUGAAAGUGAACGUAGGUGAGAGCUUCGGCGCAUCAUCGACCGAUCCUGAUGUUUUCGGAUGGAUUUGAGUAGGAGCGUUAAGCCUUGGACCCGAAAGAUGGUGAACUAUGCUUGGAUAGGGUGAAGCCAGAGGAAACUCUGGUGGAGGCUCGCAGCGGUUCUGACGUGCAAAUCGAUCGUCAAAUCUGAGCAUGGGGGGCGAAAGACUAAUCGAACCAUCUAGUAGCUGGUUACCGCC